CUUCGUUGGCCUUUGCUGCAGCCAAUUCCGAUUUGGACACCCAGACCACAUCCAGUAACCUGGAAGCUACAGAAGAGCGAAUAGAGAAGGUCGUUUAUCGAUGUUGGUUUAUGACUCUUCUAGCUGUUUUUGGGUCUUUAACAGGAUCAAUCCUUUGUUUCAUCAAGGGCUGCACUUCUAUUGUGUCGUCUUUCAUGGAAUAUUUUGUCCAUCGGAGCAAAGUGAUCUUGUUGCUGGUUGAGGCCACAGGUGAG